rnacentral:rRNA from 1 species
AUUGAACGCUGUGCGGCAGGCCUAACACAUGCAAGUCGAGCGGUAGCACAGAGAGCUUGCUCUCGGGUGACGAGCGGCGGACGGGUGAGUAAUGUCUGGGAAACUGCCUGAUGGAGGGGGAUAACUACUGGAAACGGUAGCUAAUACCGCAUAACGUCGCAAGACCAAAGUGGGGGACCUUCGGGCCUCAUGCCAUCAGAUGUGCCCAGAUGGGAUUAGCUAGUAGGUGGGGUAAUGGCUCACCUAGGCGACGAUCCCUAGCUGGUCUGAGAGGAUGACCAGCCACACUGGAACUGAGACACGGUCCAGACUCCUACGGGAGGCAGCAGUGGGGAAUAUUGCACAAUGGGCGCAAGCCUGAUGCAGCCAUGCCGCGUGUGUGAAGAAGGCCUUCGGGUUGUAAAGCACUUUCAGCGGGGAGGAAGGCGGUGAGGUUAAUAACCUCAUCGAUUGACGUUACCCGCAGAAGAAGCACCGGCUAACUCCGUGCCAGCAGCCGCGGUAAUACGGAGGGUGCAAGCGUUAAUCGGAAUUACUGGGCGUAAAGCGCACGCAGGCGGUCUGUCAAGUCGGAUGUGAAAUCCCCGGGCUCAACCUGGGAACUGCAUUCGAAACUGGCAGGCUAGAGUCUUGUAGAGGGGGGUAGAAUUCCAGGUGUAGCGGUGAAAUGCGUAGAGAUCUGGAGGAAUACCGGUGGCGAAGGCGGCCCCCUGGACAAAGACUGACGCUCAGGUGCGAAAGCGUGGGGAGCAAACAGGAUUAGAUACCCUGGUAGUCCACGCCGUAAACGAUGUCGAUUUGGAGGUUGUGCCCUUGAGGCGUGGCUUCCGGAGCUAACGCGUUAAAUCGACCGCCUGGGGAGUACGGCCGCAAGGUUAAAACUCAAAUGAAUUGACGGGGGCCCGCACAAGCGGUGGAGCAUGUGGUUUAAUUCGAUGCAACGCGAAGAACCUUACCUGGUCUUGACAUCCACAGAACUUUCCAGAGAUGGAUUGGUGCCUUCGGGAACUGUGAGACAGGUGCUGCAUGGCUGUCGUCAGCUCGUGUUGUGAAAUGUUGGGUUAAGUCCCGCAACGAGCGCAACCCUUAUCCUUUGUUGCCAGCGGUCCGGCCGGGAACUCAAAGGAGACUGCCAGUGAUAAACUGGAGGAAGGUGGGGAUGACGUCAAGUCAUCAUGGCCCUUACGACCAGGGCUACACACGUGCUACAAUGGCAUAUACAAAGAGAAGCGACCUCGCGAGAGCAAGCGGACCUCAUAAAGUAUGUCGUAGUCCGGAUUGGAGUCUGCAACUCGACUCCAUGAAGUCGGAAUCGCUAGUAAUCGUAGAUCAGAAUGCUACGGUGAAUACGUUCCCGGGCCU